rnacentral:sRNA from 1 species
UUUUUUUUUUUUUUUUUUUUCAGGACUUGUUGAAAGAGUUAUUACAACUACAACUAUAACUAUAACUACAACUAUAACUACAACGAUAAGAACUAUCACUACUCUGAAGACAACGAUGNGUUUUCUCAAGAUGAUAACGGAUCUAGCUUCGCCAUCAAUAAGUAUGAGACAAAGGAGUCCAUCUUUGAUGAAACAUCCAUUUUCCUGNUGUACAUUUUUGCAGGACAACUAGCCUGAGCACAAGAGACAUGGNGUACUAGACCUUGNGCGGAAUGUCUACUUCAAAACUUGCAUCUUUAUAUCUGAUAUAUAGAGAUAUAGAGAUAUAGAGAUAUAGAGAGAGGCUGAUGAUUUAUAAACACAAACGAUAAGACUUGUAACAUGAAGUUUAUCGGAAAAAGUCAAUCUUUAAAUUCCUUUCUGAACCUCUCUGUUAUGUCAGNGCUUCGGNACCAUGCUUUUAGUGCGGUCAUUUAAAGGCAUAGCGAUGAUAGUUCUAAAGGUACUGUAUUGGAUCAAUUGGAAGAACCAUCCAAAUAAAAAAAAGCAUGCGAAAUGCUAGGAUUAUCAGUAACUGCCAAUAAAAAAAGAUACCAAAAAUUUUC